AUACGUAGGGGGCGAGCGUUGUCCGGAAUGACUGGGCGUAAAGGGCGUGUAGGCGGCUGGAUAAGUCUGGAGUGAAAGUCCUGCAUUCAAUGUGGGAAUUGCUUUGGAGACUGUCUGGCUUGAGUGCGGAAGAGGUAAGUGGAAUUCCCAGUGUAGCGGUGAAAUGCGUAGAGAUUGGGAGGAACACCAGUGGCGAAGGCGACUUACUGGGCCGUAACUGACGCUGAGGCGCGAAAGCGUGGGGAGCGAACAGGAUUAGAUACCCUGGUAGUCCACGCGGUAAACGAUGAAUACUAGGUGUGGGGGGACUGACCCCUUCCGUGCCGGAGUAAACACAAUAAGUAUUCCACCUGGGGAGUACGACCGCAAGGUUGAAACUCAAAGGAAUUGACGGGG
rnacentral:rRNA from 1 species